rnacentral:ncRNA from 1 species
AGGGAUUGGGGCUUGCAAUUGUUCCCCAUGAACGAGGAAUUCCCAGUAAGCGCGAGUCAUAAGCUCGCGUUGAUUACGUCCCUGCCCUUUGUACACACCGCCCGUCGCUACUACCGAUUGAAUGAUUUAGUGAGGUCUUCGGACUGGUGCGCGGCAAUGUCUCGGCAUUGCCGAUGUUGCCGGGAAGAUGACCAAACUUGAUCAUUUAGAGGAAGUAAAAGUCGUAACAAGGUUUCCGUAGGUGAACCUGCGGAAGGAUCAUUA